GGAACAAACCCGCAGAGGUCACGUUCCUAGCAACCAAACUCCACCCAGCCCCCGCCCCCUAGCAACACAUUUAACUCCUGGAAUCAUUAGUGGACGAUCAGUUGAUGAGUACAAUGCCCUCAAGAUCCAAUCACUUUCCACAUUUGAGAAUUUGGGGAGAAUCUGAGAACCAUAGUAUAAUAACAUCCAUUUUAACUAGAGACAAUAUCAAAAAAUGCAAAUUGGAGGACAUCUACAAAAUAAGCAAAGUUCUUUGGAAGUGUCAAGGUCAUUAAAGUGAAUUAAGAAAAGACUAGCAAAGCAUGAUGGCAGCACAGACAGCAGAAAAACAGCAGCUAAGCACAACGUGGGACCCUAGACGCGAUCUCAGGACAUAAAAUGGAUAUCGGUACAACUGGAAUUUUGAGUAAAACCAAAAGAUCAAUUAGUAAAAAUGUGCCAGUGUUAACUUAUUCUUGGUCAUUACAACGUGAUUUCAAAAGAUGUAAAUAUUAGAGGACAAUAAAGAAGUUAAGAAAACUC